GAGAUGGUCUGAUUACCACGGCAACGUGAUCCAAGCAUCAGGAGGGAGAACCAUGCUUGGGGCUCGUGAAGAUAUCCAAUCUUCAUGCUACCUAUUCUUUUUCAAGGAUGGAGAGAGGGAUUUGUGUAUUGAUGCACAAACUUUUCCCUGCUUAUGCCACAAGGACCUGGACACCGUUGGAAGGAGAAUCAAUCAUUCCUCCAAGGAACCCAACGGAGAUCCAUGCUUCUCCUAAAGAGAGACCUCUUUUUACCCCUAUUACCGCAGAAGAGCUGGAAAACAUUCACUUCACUCAGUCAGAUUUCGAGCAAGGCCGCUUCUAAAACCCUGGUGCCGGGCACGGAGCCGGGUGUCCUACCCGGGCCACCGGCCAGAAAAGCCAGAUUGUCUCUCCCUGAAAAGAACGCGGAGAACCACCCACCGCCCGGCGGUAACCCACAGGCUCAUAUUCAGGGAAAAAAAACGCCCCGCCAGUCAAGAUGACUUUGCGAUAGCCACUCCGCCGAAAAGGAGGAACAGCAAGAAAGUCUUGAGUGCCAACGAAACGCCGACAAGAUCCGGAAAGCAACAAAA